UUUUUUGGUUUUCAGCAUUUCUUCCCCAAAGGCUGCAUGACAAACUGUUUAAUUGAGCAGCCAGCGCUGGCUGAUGUUUUGUUUCAGCACGAUUUAAACCAAAGCGAAGUAUUUUUGUUUGCUAAACUCGCUCAAGCCUUUUCACAGCAGGGUUAUGACAGCGGCACGGAUUCUUCGCAGACGGUGUCGCCCCCGGGGAAGACGCACUCGGGAGGAAGAAACAAAUGGGAGUAAAAAAGCUGAGAUAUUGGCCAUUUCCUCACAAAUGAGAAGCCUGCUUUUCCGUCUGUUCUGGUGAGCCUGUUUGGAGCCAUCGUUCCCAUUUGGAGCAGGGAGAAUCAGCCUCCAGAGCAGCCUACGCUGUUGCAUCCAGCAUUCAAAUUACAUUAUCUUUGUUUCUUACACUGACGACGAGACACUGAGAUUGGAGAACUCCACUGGGCAUUAAAGCUGCUCUGAAGGGCUUGCAUGAUUUGAAAUAAAUGUCAUAAAAAGAAAUCAUAAGUUCUUGUAUAAAAGCACAGCUGUCCUACUUUUUUUUUUUUUUUUUACUGGGGCACUUCUCA